UUUUUAACUUAAUAUUGCAAAUCUGGACUGUCUAUUUCAAGUUUUGUAUUAAACACCAUUAAAAAAGACUGGCCAAGUUAAUACAACAAAACCUGGUAAUCAUUGGAAGGACACAUGGCACCCAGUAAGUGGACACUGCGUACCAUGCGCUGGAGUGGGGCUUGAUAAUUCAUUCCUUACCAAUCGGAGCCUUAAUCCUGAAGGAAAUUAAAAACGUCCUAUACAAGCUUUCUGGGGCUGGCCAACAUAAAGGUAACUUUGUCCUCCACUUGCAUUUGUUGCCCUCCAGUCCUGCAUCUACCUUUCAAACGAGUGAGAUAAUCGAGGAUGACCAUGACGAACCAUUUUGGUACUGUUUAACAAAUAAAGAUUAAUAUGCACAACACAAGCAUGACAAAAACAAAAAUAAAUAAAUUAAUUAAUUAAUGUUCUACUCAAGGAACAGCAUACUGUAACUAAAUCCAUGCCCGUAGAUCGUACUUUACAUAUUAUCAUUGAUGGGGGAUUGAAGAUUGAUUCCACCAAAAAAAUUAGUUAAUUUCAUUAGCUAAUUGGUGUUUUAGCGUAUGAAAUAUUGUUUGUGCUAAACCAUUUGACAGAACAAGGUCAACUUGGUAAGAACUGCAAAACACAAUCAAUUUAAUAGUCUGACCUGUUCAACGUUUCCUUGUGGAGCCUGGGAGGCAACCUGUCCCCAUCACGUUUAAACCAAAGUAAAGGUUCCACACUAAUGCAAAAAGACAAUAAUAAAUGCUCCUCAUAAAGCUAACCAUUGUAGCUGAUUGAAAAGAAAACAUCAAGAACGCAAACAAAGAGCAGAAACCGACCAUAAAAUAUCAACGCAGUUGAGGGAAAGCAAGAAAAAAAAAAUGCAGUCACCUUGUCUAAAAGAAGCCGCCCAGGUAUGCCUUAAUGGCUGCUGCCCAACCCCUCUCUUUGGCUACCCUGUCUCCCAGGAAAAAAUUGGACAGACCAGA
rnacentral:lncRNA from 1 species